GGAUAAGUGCUGAAAGCAUCUAAGUACGAAGCCGGCCACAAGAUUAGAUUUCUCAGGGUCGUCAUAGACGAUGACGUUGAUAGGAUGCAGGUGUAAAGAUGGAGACAUCAAAGCCGAGCAUUACUAAUUGCCCGUCCACUUUCCUUA
rnacentral:rRNA from 1 species